rnacentral:snRNA from 1 species
GUGCUCACCUCGGCAAGUACAUAUACUAAAAUUGGAACGAUACAGAGAGUAGUCGGUCUGCAAGGAUGACAGGCAAUUUCGUGAGCAUUCAUUAUUAAAA